AAGAACCGGGUCCAGAUCCUCCACUGACUUGUCAAACUAGGGUUCUUCCACCUAGGGGUGGGGCUACAGUGAUGCCUGUGUAUUCCCGGGAAUACCCAAUUUUUUUAAAAAAAAUAAGUAUACUUCAAGUUUAUACACAUGUACAUAUACUUGUGGACCUAAAUCCUUGUUUCUUCAAUUCAAACACUGCCCAACGAUCGAUUCCAGGCCUCUUGCGUCACCUCCUCCCACCAGACCGGCCCAUCAGUUGUUCCACCUCCAAAUGCCCUCUCUCCCAUCAGCCCCGGCCCCC
rnacentral:lncRNA from 1 species